AGUGAACGCUGGCGGUAGGCCUAACACAUGCAAGUCGAACGGCAGCACAGUAAGAGCUUGCUCUUACGGGUGGCGAGUGGCGGACGGGUGAGGAAUACAUCGGAAUCUACUUUUUCGUGGGGGAUAACGUAGGGAAACUUACGCUAAUACCGCAUACGACCUACGGGUGAAGGCAGGGGAUCUUCGGACCUUGCGCGAUUGAAUGAGCCGAUGUCGGAUUAGCUAGUUGGCGGGGUAAAGGCCCACCAAGGCGACGAUCCGUAGCUGGUCUGAGAGGAUGAUCAGCCACACUGGAACUGAGACACGGUCCAGACUCCUACGGGAGGCAGCAGUGGGGAAUAUUGGACAAUGGGCGCAAGCCUGAUCCAGCCAUACCGCGUGGGUGAAGAAGGCCUUCGGGUUGUAAAGCCCUUUUGUUGGGAAGAAAAGCAGCAGGUUAAUACCCCGCUGUUCUGACGGUACCCAAAGAAUAAGCACCGGCUAACUUCGUG
rnacentral:rRNA from 1 species